GGCCAAGGGGUAAGGCAACGGGUUUUGGUCCCGUUACUCGGAGGUUUSRAUCCUUCCGUCCCAGA
rnacentral:tRNA from 1 species